rnacentral:rRNA from 1 species
AGGACGAACGCUGGCGGCGUGCUUAACACAUGCAAGUCGAGCGGUAAGGCCCUUUCGGGGGUACACGAGCGGCGAACGGGUGAGUAACACGUGAGUAAUCUGCCCUUCACUUCGGGAUAAGCCUCAGAAAUGGGGUCUAAUACCGGAUAUGACGCUCCCAGGCAUCUGGUGGGUGUGGAAAGGUUUUUCCGGUGGGGGAUGUGCUCGCGGCCUAUCAGCUUGAUGGGUGGGGUAAUGGCCUACCAUGGCUUCGACGGGUA